rnacentral:rRNA from 1 species
GAUGAACGCUGGCGGCGUGCCUAAUACAUGCAAGUCGAGCGAACAGAUAAGGAGCUUGCUCCUUUGACGUUAGCGGCGGACGGGUGAGUAACACGUGGGUAACCUACCUAUAAGACUGGAAUAACUCCGGGAAACCGGGGCUAAUGCCGGAUAACAUUUAGAACCGCAUGGUUCUAAAGUGAAAGAUGGUUUUGCUAUCACUUAUAGAUGGACCCGCGCCGUAUUAGCUAGUUGGUAAGGUAACGGCUUACCAAGGCAACGAUACGUAGCCGACCUGAGAGGGUGAUCGGCCACACUGGAACUGAGACACGGUCCAGACUCCUACGGGAGGCAGCAGUAGGGAAUCUUCCGCAAUGGGCGAAAGCCUGACGGAGCAACGCCGCGUGAGUGAUGAAGGUCUUCGGAUCGUAAAACUCUGUUAUUAGGGAAGAACAAAUGUGUAAGUAACUGUGCACGUCUUGACGGUACCUAAUCAGAAAGCCACGGCUAACUGCGUG